rnacentral:piRNA from 1 species
UGACAUGGAGCCUGAUGGAAUAUGGCCGGU